AAAUUGAAGAGUUUGAUCAUGGCUCAGAUUGAACGCUGGCGGCAGGCCUAACACAUGCAAGUCGAGCGGUAGCACAGAGAGCUUGCUCUCGGGUGACGAGCGGCGGACGGGUGAGUAAUGUCUGGGAAACUGCCUGAUGGAGGGGGAUAACUACUGGAAACGGUAGCUAAUACCGCAUAACGUCGCAAGACCAAAGUGGGGGACCUUCGGG
rnacentral:rRNA from 1 species